CACGUAGGGGGCAAGCGUUUGUCCGGAUUUAUUGGGCGUAAAGAGCUCGUAGGCGGCUCAGUAAGUCAGGUGUGAAACCUCCAGGCUCAACCUGGAGACGCCACCUGAUACUGCUGUGGCUAGAGUCCGGUAGGGGAGCGUGGAAUUCCUGGUGUAGCGGUGAAAUGCGCAGAUAUCAGGAGGAACACCAGCGGCGAAGGCGGCGCUCUGGGGCCGGAACUGACGCCUGAGGAGCGAAAGCGUGGGUAGCAAACAGG
rnacentral:rRNA from 1 species